rnacentral:rRNA from 1 species
GUGCCAGCAGCCGCGGUAAUACGUAGGGUGCAAGCGUUAAUCGGAAUUACUGGGCGUAAAGGGUGCGUAGGCGGUCCAUUAAGUCUGAUUUGAAAUACCAUGGCUCAACCAUGGGGGUGGAUUGGAAACUGGUGGACUUGAGCGUAGGAGAGGAAGGUGGAAUUCCAUGUGUAGCGGUGAAAUGCGUAGAGAUGUGGAGGAACACCAGUGGCGAAGGCGGCCUUCUGGCUUACCCCUGACGCUGAGGCACGAAAGCGUGGGGAGCAAACAGGAUUAGAUACCCUGGUAGUCCACGCCGUAAACGAUGAGUACUAAGUGUCGGUCGAAAGAUCGGUGCUGAAGUUAACGCAAUAAGUACUCCGCCUGGGAAGUACGGUCGCAAGACUGAAACUCAAAUGAAUUGACGG